UUCUGCGACUUACCACCAUAUGAAAAAGCUACAUCUGUCCACACAGAAAAUUGCAUCUCAACAAACCUGUCAUUGGUACCCGAACUACAUUUCAGUCACUCAGUAAAGUGAUAACUCAAAAUGUCAUUGUAAGCAGAUCUGGAGAAAUUGCCACUGCGUCUUUAGACCGUUUUCGUCAGACGAGACACACAGUUCUGGUUGCUGUACAUAUCUAUCCACAUCAAGGCUGUUGGGAGAGACUCGUGAAGAUUCAAGAGAGCUCUUAGAGGAUUUGCAGUUUAAAAGUGACAUUAUUGCGAAA